rnacentral:lncRNA from 1 species
GGAAGCAAGCCUAAAUAUAUAUACAAGUAUAAAAUCCCUCCAAGACCCUGGAAGUCACAUGUACAGAGCUACUAACAAAAUGAGUAAAUGUCCCAAAAGUGGACCACAGAAACAAGAUUGUGUCAAAAAGCAAAAUACAAGUCAAUGUAUAUAGAUGGAGACUGGUAUAGCACAAAACUCCAAGUGCUCACCCCCGUCUACGUAUCAGAUUGUUGCAGACUCGAUGUCAAUGCUGGUAGCUGGUGCUCGGUCCUGCAUCAUGAAAACAAAUGCAGAGUGUAGAAUGAGUACCAAAACAACAGGUACCCAGUAGGCCUCAUAGGCUGAUUGAGCAAGAAAAGCAAAAGUAAUAUGAAAUGCGAGAAUCUAAAACACUAACAUAAAUAGGAACGAGAAAUCUAACAGGUAUGCACAUGAGUGUACUAACACACAAAGAUAAGGAGAAUAACAAACUAAAUCCGACCGAGCUCCCAUAAACCUGGCGGGUACACUCGUGUACAAGCUAAAAGUAAAAAUCGAGCGGACUCCCAUAAGCCCGACAGGUACAAGGAGAGUUUAGAAUGGAAUAAGAGGAUCUGAUGAAGUUUCCCAGAUUUCCACAACUUUUCGUGGACUCGAACCGAACGAAUCCAUAUGUUUGAAGCUCAUCCAGGACUGAAAGGGGUUAAGGACAUUAACUGAAUUGAAGAUGGAGGAUCAAGGACUUAAACCGAGAUUUGGAGUAACCAAGGACUUGAACCAAGGCUAAGGAUAAUCGUGGACUUUAACCACGUAUAAAUAUGACCAAGGACUUGAACCGAGGUGAGAGUAGAUAUGGACUUGAACCAAACUGUAAAGAGCAGUAGACUUGAUGUUGGAAAACUAUAUGCAAAGCGGAAGCAUACCAAAAUCUUACUGCUUACAUGAAUAAUAGAUAAUCAAUAAUGUUUAUGCUAGAACACACAUAAUCAUGCUAGAACACAUAUACUUAUUGGAAUUUAAUUCAAGAAUUACCUUUUGAAGCGUUAGCAGAUACCUUCAAAUGAAUACACAUAUUAGAUAGACCUUCAAGCAAAUCUACAAGAUAAACAACACCUUUGAAGUCUUCUACAAUGAUCCCAAGUUCACAUCUAAACCCUCUCAAUACUUGGGUGGGCAAGCAUGAAUAGAAAACAUUCAGUCUUUUUUUUAUGUUAGGAGAAUCCCUACUCAUAGUGAUUUCCUCCCUAUCCAAAAAAGGAGAAGAAAACCAGUUUUCUUGAAAAACAAGAAAUACACUUUUCUUUCCCUUUUUCCUAAGAAAAUAGGAUUAUGAGUUCUAGUUAAAUAUGGGCAUCGUAGGUACCACAAUAUUAGUUGUUGAGGCUUCCUACUAUAGAAAUAAUUCCAAUUAAUUAAUUUGAAUUAUUCUUACCAUAAUAAAUUACAAAUCAUUCCAAUAGAAAUUUGUAAUUGUACUCUUCUAUUUAUAUUUCGAAUUUUCUCAUUAAACACUUAUGUAAUUCCCCAUGUUAAGAUUACAUAUAAUAAUCAAUAAAAUAAAUUACUGACAAAUUUAAUUCAAUGAUUAUUUUCUUUAGAACACUACUUAACUUAUUUCAUUUGUCGGAUUCAUAAAUUCACUUGUAAGGUUUGACACGAUGAAAACUUAUAAGCUUCUCAAAAAGGCAUAUCAUUAAUCUCUAUAUCGAGACAUGAAUUCCGUCAACUAACUUAUUAUUUUACCAAUAUAUAUUAUUAUCAUCCAAUCUACCAGACAUAUUGACCAAUUCUCAGAAUCUUGACUUUUAAUAAAUCAAAACGAUAAUUAAUAUAUAUACAUAUCAUAAUAGUUAUAUCAGGAUUGAGAAUAUAAGCCCAUUUAACAGUUUAGAAAAUAUGCUUUUGUUGGUCAGUCUAAAAAAACUAUUUCUACUCGGUCCCGUUCAAUACAUACAAAAUGCACUAGCACAAGAAGUUGGAACUAUACCGUUCCCAUAAUAAAGUUAAAUUAUAUAUAAUCUUGUGCUAUAAUCGUACCUAUGGCAUGCCUAACUUCCAUCUUAGAUUGUGAAUAAAAAACUUUAUACUUACAAGAACCGAUGAUUUAAUCUUCUGUGUAUAAGCUAAAAUGUUAUACACUAGAUUAUAUACUUUAUAAGUAAUCAGACAACAUAAACAAAUAUAUGAUCUAUUAAAACUGAACAAAUAAUUAUUCGAUAAUAAAUAUUAUAUCUAACCAUUUGGUUAAUAGUAUAUAUCCCAACAAUCUUCCACUUAAACUUUUAACCAUCACGAUUAUUAUAAUGCACUAUAUCUAAAAGCAUGGUUAAUAAUAUAUACCCUAACAAUAUCCCACUUAGAUAUUUAAUCUAGAAAAUUGUUAGUUCACUAUUUCUACACACAUGAUUAAUAGUAUAUACCCUAACAAUCUUCCACUUAGACUCUUAAAUAUGCAAUAUGCAUUUACAACUUUCACAGAUAUUCCUUUUAUUCUUAUUGAGAGAAUGUUACCAAGUUGUUUUGUCACACAAUUUCGUCAAGUAGUGCUUCGUUGUAACAAAUCAAUUUUGUACUAGAUCUAGAGUGACCUUAUCAUGAAACUCAACAAGAUUGUACUUCUUUUCAUGAGUUCUAUCAUGAAAUUUCUCUCACACAUACAAAACAAAUCAAUCUUUGUUAUGAUUCUUCCACUACGACUAAGCAGUACUACAUAAUCACACUUUCAUGUUCUUGAGUCUUAAUAUUUUCUUCAAGAUCUCUCGAUAUUGAAAUAUUAACAACUUUUCAUGUAGUGUUCUUUAAUUUUCUCAACAUCACUCCCACUACUUGAGGUAAUAGUUUUCUUAUGUCUAGUAACGUUUCUCCCACUACUUAAAUGCAUUGGAACGUUACAUACCGAUUAUAUGUUCUUUAGCGUCUGAAUUGGAAAUUGACUUAUUUGUUAUUUCUUUGUUCAGUUCCCAUAAAACAAAUUUACUUCUAGGAAUAUGGUUUACUAAAUGAUCCUUUUCAAGAAAUGCGGCAGUUGUAUUAACAAUUGCCUUAUUUUCUUUAGGACAGUAGAAUAAACUUUCUUUCAUUCUUUAGUAUAUCCAAUUAACACACACAUUCCUUUCUGAAUUACAAUUUUCUUAUUCUCCCUCUCAAAACAUGUGCUGGACAAUCCUAUAUUUGAGCAUAUCAGAAAUUAGACUUACGCCAAAUCCAACUAGUUCUAUAGUUAUCCAAUGUACUAAUUUGAAAGUAAUGAAAUUCAGAAUGUGAUAUGUAAUUCUUACAAAAUAUCCCAAAAGAAGCAAAACAACUAUGAAUAAGUCAAUCACUAAUCUUAUCAUCUUCAUAAGAGUGUCAAGCCCCGAGCCUAUAAACUAGAUGUGGGUGGCACUCCAGAACCAUUUCUGAUCUCCAAGUGAACCCUUGGCCUCGAUGACUAUUUAGUGGAAGACUUACUUAAGCAUAAAGAAGCUUUAAAAAUAGAAUUUAGUACAUUAAAACUCAAAUAAAUACUUAACUCAACUUUCUAAAAAUACUUAAGUGCAAUAAUAAUAAUAAUAAUAAUACUUCGCAAAAAAAAGGGUAUGCUAGUCGAGGCAAGCUAACGUGCACUGAUAAUGGCAAGGAGAAGGAAUACAGCCACUAACAUGGAAACAAUGGUUACACCAGCUUCAGGAGUGCGACAGACUCUUUCUCCCCUGACUUGUGGGAGCUACCUCCCAGGUCAGUUUAGGUCGAUACAGGAGGAGGAGGAGGAACAGGAAGAUGAAAAUGCAGAUGAAUGUAACAGUGUUCGACCGGACUAUGGGAAGAAACCUGUAAGUGAAACAUCCAUCCCUCGAAGAUUACAGUUCUCUGAAAUUAGUGCUUAUACGAGCUCCAAGCUGGAAGCUCAGAUCUCAGAAAACUCAAAUAGGGCUACGGGGAAGGGGCUUACAUUGGCAUAUGAACCUCCACAGAUGGGAAAAUUGUGGUUAAGUUGACCACUGAAGAUAUAAAGGCGACUGAUAGUUAUUGGUCCACAUCACUUUUUGGUUAUGUACUGGGUGAUACUCCAAAUGAGAAAUCUAUGGAUAAGUAUGUGACUGUUAUGUGGAAUUUUGUGAAGAAGCCCCAAAUUCAUUACCAUACUGAUGGAUACUGUAUUUUUCGAUUUGCGUCGAUAGAGAAAAAAACUGAGGUAGUCCAGGCAGGACCUUAUACCUACCACAAUAAUCCUUUCAUAUUGAAGCCUUGGGUGGUAGAUUUUGUAUUUGAUACAGAGUCCAUUACUACGGUACCGCUGUGGGUGAAUUUUCCAGGUUUACCAGUAGGGUUUUGGUCGGCUGAAGCUCUGAGCAAAGUGGCGAGUGCUAUUGGAAAGCUGUUAUACACGGAUAAGUAUACUGCUGAUAUGAAUCGUAUUUCCUAUGCGCGAGUUUUGGUGGAGGUAGACAUUUCUUAUCCCCUGAUAGACUCGAUUGUCAUAGAAACUCAUUUUGGCACUACCCAGCAAACUGUAGAUUAUGAUUGGAGGCCAAAAUUUUGCAAUGAUUGUUUUCGGUUUGGGCAUAACACUGAGGAGUGCUGGAUGAAUCACAAAGGGGAGAAGGGGGAAAAUCAACAAGGACAAGAAGAAGGGGAAUUCAAGGCACCCCUUAGAAGGAGGAGAAGGGGAAGAAGAAGGAGGAAAAUUGUUCAAGAAUGGCAGAUCAGACCAGUAGGAGCUGAACCCCCAGUAGGGAGUACUAAGGACCAUGAGAAUAAUGAGGAACCUGGAGAUCCAAAUAUAGUAGAAGCACCUAUAAAGACUAUACACAUUGGUAUGAAUCCAGUGGUUAGUCUAAGCAACAUGUUUGAAUCUCUAUCUAGGAAUGUUGAUGUAUCGAGUAGACCACCAGAACAUGAGUCUGCUGAAACAUCUAAACCACCAUGAAAGUGAGUACAUGGAAUGUGAGAAUCAGCCCUACAAACAGAAAGAGGUGUUACUCUUUCUGAGGAAGAACAAAAUUAGUUUGUUUGGUUGUUUAGAAACAAGAAUAAAGGAAGGGAAAGCCAAGAAAGUCUUGUUGAAAUUUGAUAAGGAAUGGAAUCAUUUUUGCAAUUAUCCACAUGGUGUAAAUGGAAGAAACAUGUUACUGUACAAGUCGUUCAUGUGCAUGAACAAUUUGUCCAUUGUAAGGUGGAAGACUUAGCCAUUAGUUUUUCAGCUGAAAUCACAGUGGUGUAUGCAAAAAGUGAAUUAAGUCGGAGAACAGAGUUAUGGAAUGAACUGCAAAAUAUUGGUGCAAAUGUGCAGGGUGUUUGGUUGAUUAGUGGUGAUUUUAAUAAUAUUCUUAAUGCACAAGGAAGAAUUGGACAACCAGUUACAGGAGCAGAAGUACAGGGGUUCAAGGAUAUGAUUGAUAAUCUACAACUUACUCCACUUAGAUCAAAAGGGUGCUUCUAUACAUGGUGCAAUAAGCAACAGGGGAAUAAUAGGGUGUACAACAAAAUUGAUUGGGUCUUUGGUAACUUCGAAUGGCUGCAGCAGAAUGGACAUGUUGAAGCUGAAUAUAUGCAACCAGGAGUAUCAGAUCAUUCUCCUGUUGUGGUUCAUUGCAGGCAACAAAUUAACUUGCAUCCUAAGCCAUUUAGAUUAUAUGUAACUGUCAUGGAACAUCCCAGUUUCAAGGGGCUAGUACAACAAGUCUGGCAAAGGCAAAGAAGAGGACAGGCAAUGGAGAUUCUAUGGGAGAAAUUGAAACAAUUAAAAGGGGAAUUGAAGGGUAUAAAUGCAUACAUGGCUUAUUAUGCUAAACAACUAUACCAGGCAAGACAACAACUAGAGAGAGCGCAAGGCCAGAUCUCUAUGCAAAUAUUUGAUCAAGCUUUAUUUGACCAGGAAAAGGUUUAGCUAGUAGAAAUUCAGAAGUGGAGUAUAAUAGAGGAGAAAGUCUGGAGACAAAAGUCUAGAGCUUGCUGGAUUGAUAGUGGAGAUGCCAUGACAAGGGUAUUUUCAUGCACAGAUGAAGAUUAGAAAUGCUCAUAAUGCCAUUUCCUCUAUUUACACUGAAAAUGGGAUUAAGUUAAAUGAACCAAAGAAGGUUGAAAGAGAAUUUGUAGCCUUUUUCACCUCACUAAUGGGUGAUAGUACAAAAGAAUUGCCUUGUCCUAACUCUAUGGUGAUCAAGAAAGGGCCUUGCCUUAACAGGGACCAGCAACUAAUGCUGAUAGAAAAGGUUACAAAAGUAGAGAUAGAUCAAGCAAUAAAAAGUAUGCCACAUGACAAAAGUCCUGGGGUAGAUGGUACCCUAUAGAAUUCUUUACUAGUAAUUGGGAAAUGGUUAAGGAGGGAGCGUAUGAUGCUGUGCAACAAUUCUUUUCAGAAGGGAAGAUGAUGAAGGCUUGGAACUGUACUGCGGUUACACUGAUCCCUAAGGUGCAAUCACCUACUACGGUGAAAGAUUUUAGACCUAUAGCAUGUUGUUCAUCCAUUUAUAAGUUAGUUGCCAAAAUACUAACCAAUAGGCUGAAGAAGGUGUUAAAUGGAUUGAUUGGAAGAUCACAGUCUGUAUUUAUUGAAGGAAGGAGCAUAUCAGAUAACAUCUUACUGAAUCAUGAGCUUUUCAAGGGUUACACUAGGAAAUGGAUAUCUCCUAGGUGUGUGUUAAAGGUGGAUAUCAGGAAAACUUAUGACACACUUGAAUGGCAAUUUCUGAGAACUAUGCUCACUGACCUGGGGUUCCCUUACAAGUUCGUUAACUGGGUAAUGGAAUGUGUGACAACUGUGUCCUACUCAUUGAUGAUGUUUGGAGGAUUAACAAAGCCUUUCCAAGCUAGAAGAGGUUUAAGGCAAGGGGAUCCCAUGUCCCCUUACCUAUUUGUUAUUGCCAUGGAAUACCUUCAUAGGGAAAUGAUGCAACUAGGUAUGAAUAAACAGUUCCACUUCCACCUCAGAUGCAAAAGAUUUGGACUGAUCCAUAUGUGUUUUGCUGAUGAUUUGUUAAUGUUCUGCAGGGCUGAUAUGAAUUCAAUUUUAUUAUUGCAAGAAACAUUGGAUAAAUUUUCAUGUGCUUCUGGACUAAAGGCUAAUUUUGAGAAGAGCUCUAUUUACAUACCAGGUACUAACCAAAGCAUCAGCUUAGACAUAAUACAAAAGCUAGGGUAUUUGGAGGGAAGGCUCCCUUUCAAGUAUCUUGGGGUCCCUUUGUCCACAAAAAAGUUGUCUGUAUCACAAUGCUUACCUUUAGUAGAGAAGUUACUGCUAAACUUCAUUGCUGGUCUGCUAAACUGUUAUCAUAUGCUGGAAGGUUACAACUUAUAAAAUCAAUCCUUUUUGGAAUGCAAAGCUAUUGGGCACAAGUCUUUGUUUUUCCAAAAAAAGUGGUUAAAAUGUUAGAAUCAGUGUGUAGAACAUAUCUCUGGACAGGCCAAGGUACAAUUUCAAAGAAGUAACUAGUAGCUUGGGACAUAAUUUGUCAACCAGGUUCUGCUGGAGGCUUAAAUAUUAUUGAUUUAAAACUAUGGAACAAAGCUGCUAUUCUGAAACAUCUAUGGGCAUUAUCUAUGAAGAAAGACAUUAUGUGGAUCAGAUGGGUGUAUUAUUAUUAUAUCAAGCAGAAUAAUUUAGAGCUGAUGAUCAGUCCUAGUAAUGCAGCCUGGGUUGUCAAGAAGAUUAUUGACAGUCGGCAAAGUCUUAUGACACAACAUUUCUUCCAAGGUUCUAUUCACCAGACUUUGGCAAGAAUGGUGUAGGGUGACAAGUUCAAAAUACAGAAAGCUUACGUAGCUAUGCAGCCCCAGUUGCCUAAAGCUUCAUGGAAGAGCAUCACUCUCCAUAAAGCCAUACAUCCAAGAUUCAAAUUCAUCAUAUGGCUUGCAGUACAACAGAGAUUGGCAACAGUGGAUAGACUCCAAAAGAUUGGAAUUCAAGUUCCAAUGUUAUGCAUUUUUUGUGAUUAAGAGGUGGAAUCUUUUGAACAUUUGUUUUCCAGGUGUGUCUAUAGUAAUCAAAUCUGGACAAGAAUGCUUAAAUGGAUGGGAAAUUACAGAAGUAUUGGUCCAUGGCAACAUGAAAUAGAAUGGGUGAGUCGAAUAGCAAAGAAGAAAACUGCUCAAGCUGAAGCUAUAUGUUGUACCUUUGCUAUGGUUAUUUACAACAUCUGGAAAGACAGAAACACUCUGAGGUUCAAGAGGGGACAAGUAGAAGUUUCGCAUACAUGUAAAGACAUUGAUAUGCACCUGCACAUUCAAGGAAGAAACAAGGCAUCCUAGCAGACUAUGUUGAGCUCUUUGAAUCACUUCCCUUAGGAAUAGCCUUCUGAUUGUUUAUUUUCUUUGUUUGUAAGAAGUUAACUAGUUAGAUUAGUUUACUGAUAGCUAAGAGGUGGUAGAUGGUCAACUUCUAUCCGGCAUUGUAAUUUGACACUUUUUGAUUAAUAAAGUAAUCUGUUAAUAAAAAAAAAAUACUUUGCAAAACAAUAUCAAAAUGUCUGAAACAAAGGGAAAUACUGAGAGACUGAUCAACAAUAACUAUUUAUGAAGCCUCUAAUACUAGGAUAGAAGUUGGGACAAAACCACGACAACUCAACAAUAACAUGAAAGUAAAUUGUGAAAUCUUCCGGAAAGAAAAGAGGCUCACCAAAGUUGACUAAAGCGCAAUGUGAUCUCAAAGAAACGCGUGUUGAUGAUCCUGAACACAAGUAUCUG